rnacentral:rRNA from 1 species
UGGGGAAUAUUGGACAAUGGGCGCAAGCCUGAUCCAGCCAUGCCGCGUGGAUGAAGAAGGCCCUAGGGUUGUAAAAUCCUUUCGCUAGGGAAGAUAAUGACGGUACCUAGUAAAGAAGCCCCGGCUAAUUUCGUGCCAGCAGCCGCGGUAAUACGAAAGGGGCUAGCGUUGUUCGGAAUUACUGGGCGUAAAGCGCGCGUAGGCGGACUGGUCAGUUGGGGGUGAAAUCCCGGGGCUCAACCUCGGAACUGCCUUCAAUACUGCCAGUCUCGAGUCCGGAAGAGGUGAGUGGAAUUCCUAGUGUAGAGGUGAAAUUCGUAGAUAUUAGGAAGAACACCAGUGGCGAAGGCGGCUCACUGGUCCGGUACUGACGCUGAGGUGCGAAAGCGUGGGGAGCAAACAGGAUUAGAUACCCGCGUAGUCC